UACAGUUUCUUGACUCAUUAUUCAUUAAAAAUCUAUUACUACCAACAGAAGAUGCUCAGGUCAAGGUCUUGGCUGCUCUGAAAUGCACACUUAAAUACUCAGCGUGAAUUCUGGUGGGCCUUUGCACUUACCCAGCAAGUGAGGAUACUCCUGGGAACCCUGCAGAGAAUUGCUCAAUAUUCUAUAAGACUGCAGUCUCUAAAUUCAGACAGUAUGUGCAGCAUGGGUCUCUAAAAAGAUUUUUAAAAAGGGUUUCAAGGGACCCUGUGUUGUACUCUGGAAUAGUUUGUGG
rnacentral:lncRNA from 1 species